UGGGGAAUCUUGGACAAUGGGCGCAAGCCUGAUCCAGCCAUGCCGCGUGGAUGAUGAAGGCCUUAGGGUUGUAAAAUCCUUUCGCCGAGGACGAUAAUGACGGUACUCGGAGAAGAAGCUCCGGCUAACUUCGUGCCAGAAGCCGCGGUAAUACGAAGGGGGCUAGCGUUGUUCGGAUUUACUGGGCGUAAAGCGCGUGUAGGCGGGUCGUUAAGUUGGGGGUGAAAUCCCGAGGCUCAACCUCGGAACUGCCUUCAAAACUGGCGACCUGGACCUAAGUAGAGGCAAGUGGAAUUGCGAGUGUAGAGGUGAAAUUCGUAGAUAUUCGCAGGAACACCAGUGGCGAAGGCGACUUGCUGGACUUAUGGUGACGCUGAGACGCGAAAGCGUGGGGAGCAAACAGGAUUAGAUACCCCCGUAGUCCCUGAGCGGGCUGGCAAGGCGCAU
rnacentral:rRNA from 1 species